UUUGUGACGUCACAAUGUUUUCCAGAGUUCUAGGUCACGGCCACCUGACUUUCAAAGUCACAAGUUAAAGCCUGUGUUCAUCCUGAGCAGACUGUACAGAAGAGGUUUCUGCCACAACAACCUGCCAUUUAGAGAGAAUGGAGCAGGCAGGGCAUUGUAGACUGCCUGAGACAGCCCAGCAGUCUGGCCAGGUGUGGCUCUUUGAGGGUAAAGACGGUUGUGCUCAGAAGAGAGAAACCUGCUCCUGAGUGUUCUGACCCGCGCUCAAGUGUGAAGCGGCAGGUGUAAGGGGCCGGAGAUGCCAAGCCUCACCUAAGGCAGGACCCAUUUCUCUCCUGAGCUUUACCUCCCCGCCGCCCCCCACCGCCCACCGCGCCACAGACACCCUGUUAUGCCACUACCCCUCCGCAUCUGUUGCACCCUGUUUUUGCUGCCCUGGUUUUGUGUCGGGGGAUCUUCCUGGGCCGGGUGAACAUCGCCGUGAAGCUCAGUGGCUCUGUGCUUAACGACUUCAUUUUUCACCGCCACCCUUCUAAUAAAAGCUGUUUGAAGAAGGAGGGAUUUGAA